AGAAUAUUAAAGCAUCUUCCCAGAAAGUAACAGAAUCCACAAAUUCUGUGACCCAAUCGCCUAAUAAAAAUCAAGAGGUUUGCUGCAUUGAUGAAGGUGAUAUUGUCCAAUUUGUCAAUAAAAAUCUUGAAAGUGAACAUGACAAUGAUACGAAUAGUGAAGAUAUUCCUCUAAAUCGUCUAUCUUCUAGGGUUCAGGUUAAAGAUUCAAAUCAAAAAGAAACGGCUACCUUUUGUAAAAGAAGGAAAUUUGAUACCGUUCUCAAGACUCGAAAAUUGUUGAAGCAGCAAAAAAACGUGCUGAAAAUCAUGCAGUCUUACCUGGCUGCAAAAACUGUAAGAAAAAAUGUUCGUCGCUUAUUUUAAAUGAGGUAAAAAAAUCAAUAAAUAGUCAUUUUUUGGCAAUUGUCUAAAUUUUGGCAAUUGUCUAAAAAUG